AGGGUUCCUGAGCAACGAUCGUCGUCUCAGGGUAAGUCGGGACCUAAGCCGAGGCGGAAAAGCGUAGGCGAUGGACAACAGGUUGAAAUUCCUGUACCGGUGUGAAUCGUUUGAUCGAUGGAGUGACACAGUAAGGUAGGUCAGCACGCGAUUGGAAGUGCGUGUUUAAGCAUGUAGGUUGAGCUAUAGGCAAAUCCGUAGCUCUAAAAGCUGAGAUGUGAUGACGAGUUACUAGCGAUAGUAACGAAGUGAUUGAUCCUACACUGUCGAGAAAAGCUUCUAGGUAGAGACACAUCGCCCGUACCAAAACCGACACAGGUAGGCGGGGAGAGAAUCCUAAGGUGCGCGGGAAAACCCUCGUUAAGGAACUCGGCAAAAUGCCUCCGUAACUUCGGGAAAAGGAGGACUCAUGUAGUGUGAAGUGCAGCAACGCAUGGAGCAUGAAUGAGUGGCACAAGAGAGGCGCAAGCGACUGUUUACCACAAACACAGGUGCCUGCUAAAGCGAAAGCUGAUGUAUAGGUGCUGACACCUGCCCGGUGCUGGAAGGUUAAGAGGAGGGGUUAGACUUCGGUCGAAGCUCUGAAUUGAAGCCCCAGUAAACGGCGGCCGUAACUAUAACGGUCCUAAGGUAGCGAAAUUCCUUGUCGGGUAAGUUCCGACCCGCACGAAAGGUGUAACGACUUGCGCACUGUCUCAACGAGGGACCCGGUGAAAUUGAAGUACCUGUGAAGAUGCAGGUUACCCGCGACUGGACAGAAAGACCCCAUGGAGCUUUACUGCAACCUAAGAUUGAACUUAGUUAAUGAAUGUACAGGAUAGGUGGGAGACUUAGAAUCUAGGACGCCAGUUUUAGAGGAGUCGUUGUUGGGAUACCACCCUUUCAUUAAUUGAUUUCUAACGGGCCGAGUAACGACCGGCCGGACAGUCUUAGGCGGGCAGUUUGACUGGGGCGGUCGCCUCCUAAAGAGUAACGGAGGCGCCCAAAGGUUCCCUCAGAGCGGACGGAAAUCGCUCGAAGAGUGUAAAGGCAGAAGGGAGCUUGACUGCGAGACGGACAGGUCGAGCAGGGACGAAAGUCGGGCUUAGUGAUCCGGUGGUGCCGAGUGGAAGGGCCAUCGCUCAACGGAUAAAAGCUACCCUGGGGAUAACAGGCUAAUCUCUCCCAAGAGUCCAUAUCGACGGGGAGGUUUGGCACCUCGAUGUCGGCUCAUCACAUCCUGGGGCUGAAGUAGGUCCCAAGGGU
rnacentral:rRNA from 1 species